UGACGGGUAACGGGGAAUUAGGGUUCGAUUCCGGAGAGGGAGCCUGAGAAACGGCUACCACAUCUAAGGAAGGCAGCAGGCGCGCAAAUUACCCAAUCCUAAUACAGGGAGGUAGUGACAAGAAAUAACAAUACAGGACCUUUCGGUUUUGUAAUUGGAAUGAGUUAAGUAUAAACCCCUUUACAAGUAUCAAUUGGAGGGCAAGUCUGGUGCCAGCAGCCGCGGUAAUUCCAGCUCCAAUAGCGUAUAUUAAAGUUGUUGCAGUUAAAAAGCUCGUAGUUGGAUUUCUGUUAAUUACUUUAUAUAAUUUUACACUUUUUUGUGUAGUUAUAUAGUAUUAACAUAAUUCAUAUUACUAUUUUUUAGUAUAUGAAAUUUUACUUUGAGAAAAUUAGAGUGCUUAAAGCAGGCUUUUGCCUUGAAUACUUCAGCAUGGAAUAAUAAUUAAAGAUUUUUAUCUUUCUUUUAUUGGUUCUAAGAUAAAAAUAAUGAUUAAUAGGG
rnacentral:rRNA from 1 species